UUCCUACGGGGAGGCAGCAGUGAGGAAUAUUGGCCAAUGGAGGCAACUCUGACCAGCCAUGCCGCGUGCAGGAAGACUGCCCUAUGGGUUGUAAACUGCUUUUAUACAGGAAGAAACCUUUCUACGUGUGGAAGACUUGACGGUACUGUAAGAAUAAGGAUCGGCUAACUCCGUGCCAGCAGCCGCGGUAAUACGGAGGAUCCAAGCGUUAUCCGGAAUCAUUGGGUUUAAAGGGUCCGUAGGCGGAUAAUUAAGUCAGAGGUGAAAUCCUGCAGCUCAACUGUAGAAUUGCCUUUGAUACUGGUUUUCUUGAGUUAUUGUGAAGUAGUUAGAAUAUGUAGUGUAGCGGUGAAAUGCAUAGAUAUUACAUAGAAUACCAUUGCGAAGGCAGAUUACUAACAAUGUGUACUGACGCUGAUGGACGAAAGCGUGGGGAGCGAACAGGAUUAGAUACCCUGGUAGUCCACGCCGUAAACGAUGGUCACUAGUUGUUCGGACUUCGUUCUGAGUGACUAAGCGAAAGUGAUAAGUGACCCACCUGGGGAGUACGUUCGCAAGAAUGAAACUCAAAGAAAUUUGACGGG
rnacentral:rRNA from 1 species